UAUAAUGCAAGUCGAGCGGACCGACGGGAGCUUGCUCCCUUAGGUCAGCGGCGGACGGGUGAGUAACACGUGGGUAACCUGCCUGUAAGACUGGGAUAACUCCGGGAAACCGGGGCUAAUACCGGAUGCUUGAUUGAACCGCAUGGUUCAAUCAUAAAAGGUGGCUUUUAGCUACCACUUACAGAUGGACCCGCGGCGCAUUAGCUAGUUGGUGAGGUAACGGCUCACCAAGGCGACGAUGCGUAGCCGACCUGAGAGGGUGAUCGGCCACACUGGGACUGAGACACGGCCCAGACUCCUACGGGAGGCAGCAGUAGGGAAUCUUCCGCAAUGGACGAAAGUCUGACCGAGCACCGCCGCGUGAGUGAUGAAGGUUUUCGGAUCGAAAAACUCUGUUGUUAGGGAAGAACAAGUACCGUUCGAAUGGGGCGGUUCCUUGACGGAACCUAACCAGAAAGGCAUGGUUAAGUCCGUGCCAGAAAAUCAUACC
rnacentral:rRNA from 1 species